rnacentral:rRNA from 1 species
GACAGAGGAUGCAAACGUUAUCCGGAAUGAUUGGGCGUAAAGCGUCUGUAGGUGGCUUUUCAAGUCCGCCGUCAAAUCCCAGGGCUCAACCCUGGAUAGGCGGUGGAAACUACCAAGCUGGAGUACGGUAGGGGUAGAGGGAAUUUCCGGUGGAGCGGUGAAAUGCAUUGAGAUCGGAAAGAACACCAACGGCGAAAGCACUCUGCUGGGCCGACACUGACACUGAGAGAUGAAAGCUAGGGGAGCAAAUAGG